AAACUUUUAAUCAUAUUCCCACCAAUUAUUUUUACCCUCAAAUAACUUUAAAAAAAAAUUGUUUGAGUUCAGUAGCAAGAGACCCUGAGCCCUAAAUAGCCAUUAACCAAGCCAGUAACACCCACUCACGAACCCUUUCUCUCCUUUCUCCACUGUCAACUCCAAAAUCGACGACGCUAACGGCGACAGCAGCUCCUCCAUGGCGACGGCCCGGUGCUCUCCUCCACGGCGACGGCGCGGUGCUCUCCUCCACGGCGACGGUGCGGUGCGCUCUUCGCUCUGCGCCGAACGACCACCGGCGAGAAACCCCUUCUCCCUUCUCUUCUCAUUCUUCCUCUUUUUCUCUUUUCCCGCAUCCUCCUCUUUGCGAACUGGAGAUGCAUCCAAAAUCGUAGCAACCUCUGUUCCGCUGGCGAGCUUUGACGCAACACGGCAACCACCCCUCAACUGUAACCUCCUCACCCCUGCCUUCUUGUUACUCUGUCCUUCAAUUUCCAGUAGGAUUCAAGUUAAAGGGAAAAGAACAAGAAAGAAGGAACAAAAGGAGCAGUUUGUGACACUAUUAAAAUUUUAAUCUUCAGGGUGUUUGUUUUUUUCUUUAGUUUUCUUUUGACUGCUAUUUAAUGUCAAAUAUAUCAUCAUUGUUGUCUUGUAAGGAGAUGCUGAUGUAAUAUGUGGUGUAGCUUGGAAAUUCUGGUCGCUGGAGCAUAUGGCUUGCCUCAAUUUCGACUAUGAGUGUUUUUAUGGGGUGCUAAAGCUUCUGAGGUAUUCUAAUAUUUUUGAGAUAAAGAUUGCUUCAGAGGAGUUUGAGGAACAUUGGUGGACAUUCUAGGACUUGAAGAUUGCAAUUUGUUGAGCCAUGACUCCGUAAAUUUUCUAUCUUGCUUAUACUUAUUUGACUGCAGCUUGCUUAUAGUUGGAUGAAGUUUUCUGAAGAGAUAAAGAAAGAAUACAAAUAGAAGGUGGUUCGUGACAUUACGCGUCCUGAAGAUCACAUUGUUGAAUACCUUGAACGUUCACCAUAUUUCAAAAAAUUUAGAAUCAAGACAUCUGAACCAAGAUUCAUAUGAUCCCCGAGUUGAGAUCGAGUUACGAGAUAGUGGAUUCUAUCACAUAUCUCAAAUUGGGAGACUUGUUUUGCACAAUGCACUUAUAAAUGCUUUAAUCGAGCGAUGGCGUCCAGAGACUCAUAUGUUUCAUCUUCCACACGGUGAAUGCACGAUAACCUUAGAGGAUGUUGCAAUGAUAUUUGGACUCCCGAUAGAUGGUAUACCGAUGUCAGGAUUUAUGGAUAGCAGCACUAAUGGCCUCGAAAAUGAAUUCAUGACACAAUUUGGUAUUGUACCUACUGCCGCUGAUCAUAAAGGAAGCAGUGUCAAGCUUGCAUGGCUCCGCACCCUAAAGCAGCGCAUGCAGUUGGACACCGCACUUGGUAGACAAAUGUACAUCAAGAUACACUCAUUAUUGUUGUUUGGCACAAAUUUAGUUUGUGACAAGUCAGGAAUGACAAUCGACUGGAAAUUCUUGCCUUUGCUCCGAAAUUUUUCUGACAUUAGAGGCUUUAGCUGGGGAUCCGCUUGCUUGGCACAUUUGUAUAGGGCAUUAUGUCGGGCAUCACGUUAUGAUUGCAAGGAGGUGGAUGGCCCAUUGGCACUGCUUUGUAUAUGGGCUUAGGAACGGUUACCGUUCCUAGCACCGGUGCGAUCGCAUCCUAGUUUUCCGCUUGCGUGCAGAUGGAUGUUUUGGCGCUCACAGUUUCACAGAUACCAAAAGUGGACCAUUUCUCAGAUCAGGCAUUUACUAGAUGAUAUUCCUGUAGAUGGGUAUGUGUGGAACCCGUAUAGUCCUAAUCAUAUAGAAAAUAUUGUAGUUCCAAAUGACAUUUUGCAGCAUCGAUUGAUGUGGAGUGCACUUGUGCCACUAAUAUCGUUUGAAUGCAUUGAGUGGCAUGCAUCAGACCGGGUGAUGAGGCAAUUCGGUCUAGCGCAGGAAGUUCCUAGAGAAGCUACUCGUCUUGCAGAAUCUCACAACGUGGUUUUGACUGGACCAAAAAACAAAGAUUGGAGAGUUGAGCAUUCUGGAUACAUUAUGAGAUGGACAAACCGUUUGAGUUCUGUUCUGGUUGGUGAUCCUGCACUACACUAUCAACCAUCCGAUCAGUAUAUGCAAUGGUAUACAGAAGCAUAUGGGGCUCACCUGCGAUUGACUGGUUAUGUUCCACAGCCACAGCCACAGCCCCAACCCCAGCCGCAGCCACAGCUGCAGCCACAGCCCAUCAUACGUCCCCCUUGUAUUAUGUUUUUCAUAUUAAAUUAAUACAAUACGCCCUCCUUGUAUUCCUUUUUAAAAUUUUCAAAAAAGCAAUACGCCCCUCUUGUAUUGUCUUUUUUUAUUUUAAAAAACAUAUUUGGUUAAAGCAAUUCGCUCCAUGCGGAUUGUCAGCCCCAGAAACAUGUAAAACACCACCACAUCCAAUAAUAAAGUAUUACACUAAAUCCUAACCAAUAUUAAAAAAAA